UCUCAUGUGGUCUAGUGGUUAGGAUUUCUAGCUUACACCCAGGCGGCCCGGGCUCGAUUCCCGGCAUUGGAA
rnacentral:tRNA from 13 species